rnacentral:lncRNA from 1 species
AUGACAACCAAUAUAAUGUCCAAAUUUCGUAAUUAUAUGUAUUAUAUAUGGUCUAUGCACAUGACAGCUUUCAAUCUCAAGUGCUUUAAAGUGACAACCUUCACUUUAGGCAGAUCAGGAUCACAUAGCAUUUCUGGUGAGAAGCCAGUCCUUACUCUUUCUUGCCAUCUUUCAGCAGCUGCUUGGCUAGAUUCCUCUCCUUCUCCAGCUGCAGGGUCCGAGUCUCCACCUUUAUCCUCGCUGAAUCCACCGGAACCCAUGCAGAUUGGACGUAUCUCCCAGGCUGAAAGAGACCGCCGGAUGAGGGAGCGAUGCUGUCUAUAUUGCGGCAAACCGGUCCCGGGCUCCAGGGAAACGCACUGUUCUGUGCAGGCCUGGGAGGACUGUAACGGGAAACAUAACCUCCUCCCAUCCAUCCAACUCCUGCCUGCUCAUUCCAGUCACCCUUUCCUGGGACAACCACGAGCUUCCCCUUCAAGCCUUGGUAGACUCUGGAGCCGCAGGUAACUUCAUGGAUGGUGUCUGGGCGAAGGAGAAUGGCGUUCCCUCUGAACCUUUAAGUGACCCCAUGAGGGUUACUACGUUGGAUGGAAGCCCUUUGGGAUCUGGACUUGUCACUCGUGUCACUACCCCCUUGCGACUUUCAGUUUCCCAACACCAGGAAGUGAUGAACUUUCAUCUGAUCUCCUGUUCCGAGUUCCCUCUCGUCCUUGGAUAACCCUGGCUUCACAGCCAUAACCCUCAUAUCGACUGGUCUGUGGGCACUAUCAAGCAGUGGGGUCCUACGUGCCAAGCCACUUGUAUCUUCCCGAGUUCCCCGAGUUCUCCUCCCGAGUCUCUAGAAUCCAUCGACCUGUCCCGAGUUCGAGUGUUACCAUGACCUCAAACCGGUAUUUAGCAAACAGAGGGCCACCAUGCUACCACCCCAUAGACCUUACGAUUGCCCCAUCAACCUGUUUCCGGGCACCUGCCUCCCCAGGGGUCGGAUCUUUCCCUAUCUCCUCCCGAACGAGCUGCUAUGGAUAGCUACAUCAAGGACGCUCUGGCAUCUGUCCAUCCACCUCGCCGGCGGGAGCAGGGUUUUUCUUUGUGGCCAAAAAAGAUGGUGGAUUACGUCCUUGCAUCGACUACCGGGGACUCAAUGCCAUAACCGUCCGUAACCGCUACCCCUUAUGGCCACAGCCUUUGAGCUGCUCCAGGAAGCAGUAGUCUUCACUAAGCUUGACCUGCAGAACGCAUACCAUCUUGUGUGGAUCAGACCCGGUGACGAGUGGAAGACCGCUUUCAACACGCCUACUGGUCACUACYAAUACUUGGUGAUGCCCUUCGGCCUGACCAACGCCCCGGCUGUGUUCCWWGCYCUCAUAAACYAUGUGCUUAGGGAUAUGCUMAARAUAUURYUGUURGUUUACUUGGAUGARAUCCUCAUCUUUUCGAGCUCCCUUCAAGAACACACAAAGCAUGUCAGACAAGUACUCAAACGCCUCCUAGACAGCCAU